rnacentral:misc_RNA from 1 species
GCGGGCGGAGUGUGGUGUGAGGUGGUAAGGUGCUUUGCUUUUGUUUAACAACCGACACCCGUAAAUGCUCCGCGGCGUAUACAAAACGAAUCGGCAAAGUGAGAUCGAGAGCUGUUCUAUUAAAUGAUAUUUGACAGGCUCCGGCCUUUGGAACGCGUUCAUCAGAAGAAACAAACGGAGGAGCAGCGGGAGCAGAGGAAGGAGAUCAGAUCGGACAGAACUGAAGAACAGCAGCAUGAACAAGGUCGGCAAGCACAUCCAAAGCGGCGUCUCGUCGCUCGGCGGUGGCAGUCCUGUGGCCCUCUCAACAGCAUCUCUACUUGGUUCCCCGGUUGAUACUGAAACUGGCGUGGCUGGACCGGGGGCCGGCAAUGCAACGAAUGUGUUCAACUCGAUCAUGAGCUUCCUGCCAGACAAUCGGCCCAUCACCUCGCUGCACAUUGUUCAGGACUUUGAGCGCUGCCCAAAGAACUUCAGUGCCAUUCAUCGCACUUACGACCAGGAUGCAGACGCAGAUCUAUGGCGCGACUAUAGCAUUUUCGGGCGCCAGAAUACCCGCUAUCUGUGCCUCUCCAAGUCCGAGGGACUGCCCGACUAUGUGGUGGAGACACUCCAAGUCAUUGCCGAUAAGACCACUCCGCCGAAGGAGUACUCGCUGCUCUCGCGCACAGCCGACAGCGAUCAGAAGGCCUGGCGAAAGCGACAGAUCGCCUACAAGCUGUCGAAGCGAGGCUCUGUGACCCAAGCGGUGACCGACAUCAUUGUCUGCUCCAAGCUAAAGGUGGCCCCCGAUGGCUUCAAGUUAGCCGGCGACAUCAACGGAGUGCUUAUCUGCUACAAAACGGGCGCCAUUCCCGUGCGCCUGCCGCCGCCAGUCCCAGCUGGAACUGCAGCUGCAACCGCUGGCGGCGGCACCUGUGAGGUGGAGCAGGCCUUGAACCGCCUCAAUUUGCAGGGACAACGACACUCGCGCGGACCCCUGCCGCAGCCGCCAACAGCAGAGCACCAUGACUAUGAGGAGAUUCAGGCCAAUUAUCAAAUCAAUUCUCCACAGCGCCCGGCCCCACCACGUCCAGCGGGUUCCAGUGCCGUUGUCGUCGGAGGAGGACGUGCAGCCUAUGGCGGAACAGGAACUCUAGGAACCUAUACCGAACUGGAAGGGGUUCCCUUUGUGAUGGAUGUUAGGCUGCAGCGGAAUCAGCCAGGAACUGAUCUACCCAUACUGCCAGAACUAUCAACGCUGCUAAGAUCCUUGGACUAUGACUUUCAAUUGGAACGUCAGGUCCUGUGCACCAUGAAGUCUUCGGCCUCGAAGAAUCCAUUCUUCAAGUAGAAAUAUCGAUAAUAAAUUCAAUCACAAAUUUCAACAUUUAGACCGUAAGCUCUCGUAGCCGUAACAGAUCUAAAGCUGAAGCAGAAGCAGCCGCCGCCAUAGACGACUCCCUAGAAAUUAUUUAGUUGCGAUUUAGUUCAGUGGAAGAAGGACAUGGAGGACAUCCUGCCUCAGAUAGGAUAGGAUCGAUCGUAUUCCCCUCAGUUAUAGUCGAUGUGAAAGCGAAAGUGGAACCCGUUUGGCAACCUACCCACAGAUGAGAAGUGAAAGCAAAGAAAAUAAAACCCAAUAUAUUUACAUCAUUCAUCAUACAAAUGCAUCCGGCAUGGAUGCAUCAUACUUAAUCCCCAGAAAUGUGAUCAGAAGAGCAAGCGAAUGAUGUUUUUUGUGUAAUAAUUUUAAAAGCAUUAUGCAUAACAUAUACAUAAAUAUAUAUAUAUACUAUAUAUUACCUUACCCCAUGGUACAACCCUAUCAAUUAUGUAUGUAUUCGAAGGAGAAGGUGCUCUUCCGUGUCUGAAAAUUAAUGUUAAAGUUUGAAACAAGUCUAGGAAACGCCGAUGGCCAUGUGCAACCCAAUUGAUAUAUAAUUCUAAUCGUAUUAUGUAUAACGAUGCGCAUACACAUACACAUACACAUAUAUCAAAUAUAUAUACACAUAGAACAUAUACAUACAUUUAUAGACCAGUUGGUCUCGAAACAAACAUAGAUUACAUAAAUGGUAGCCUCUAGAGAUGAUUAGACUGUAAUUGUGAGAUCCUAGAUUCUUCCCAGCCGUUGGGUGACCCCGCCCCCCCCCUUCCACCAGUCACCUGCCAGCCAGUCCCCUACCACCCUACCAUGAUCUACCACCUAACACACAAAACACAACACUCCACCCGCAAUGUUAUUAUAAAACAGUUCAAAUAAAAACCAUACGUAUAUACA